GAACGCUGGCGGCAUGCCUUACACAUGCAAGUCGAACGGCAGCAUGAUCUAGCUUGCUAGAUUGAUGGCGAGUGGCGAACGGGUGAGUAAUACAUCGGAACGUGCCCUGUAGUGGGGGAUAACUAGUCGAAAGAUUAGCUAAUACCGCAUACGACCUGAGGGUGAAAGUGGGGGACCGCAAGGCCUCAUGCUAUAGGAGCGGCCGAUGUCUGAUUAGCUAGUUGGUGGGGUAAAGGCCCACCAAGGCGACGAUCAGUAGCUGGUCUGAGAGGACGAUCAGCCACACUGGGACUGAGACACGGCCCAGACUCCUACGGGAGGCAGCAGUGGGGAAUUUUGGACAAUGGGCGAAAGCCUGAUCCAGCAAUGCCGCGUGCGUGAAGAAGGCCUUCGGGUUGUAAAGCACUUUUGUCCGGAAAGAAAUGGCUCUGGUUAAUACCUGGGGUCGAUGACGGUACCGGAAGAAUAAGGACCGGCUAACUACGUGCCAGCAGCCGCGGUAAUACGUAGGGUCCAAGCGUUAAUCGGAAUUACUGGGCGUAAAGCGUGCGCAGGCGGUUGCGCAAGACCGAUGUGAAAUCCCCGAGCUUAACUUGGGAAUUGCAUUGGUGACUGCACGGCUAGAGUGUGUCAGAGGGGGGUAGAAUUCCACGUGUAGCAGUGAAAUGCGUAGAGAUGUGGAGGAAUACCGAUGGCGAAGCAGCCCCCUGGGAUAACACUGACGCUCAUGCACGAAAGCGUGGGGAGCAAACAGGAU
rnacentral:rRNA from 1 species